rnacentral:tRNA from 1 species
GGAGGGGUGGCUGAGCUUGGUUGAAAGCGUCCGAUUCGAAAUCGGAUGUCCGGGGUCAAACUUGGACCGGGAGUUCGAAUCUCUCCCCCUCCGCCA